rnacentral:rRNA from 1 species
AACGAACGCUGGCGGCAUGCCUAACACAUGCAAGUCGAACGAGACCUUCGGGUCUAGUGGCGCACGGGUGCGUAACGCGUGGGAACCUGCCCUUGGGUUCGGAAUAACGUCGGGAAACUGACGCUGAUACCGGAUAAUGUCUUCGGACCAAAGAUUUAUCGCCCAAGGAUGGGCCCGCGUAGGAUUAGCUAGUUGGUGGGGUAACGGCUCACCAAGGCGACGAUCCUUAGCUGGUCUUAGAGGAUGAUCAGCCACACUGGGACUGAGACACGGCCCAGACUCCUACGGGAUGCAGCAGUGGGGAAUAUUGGAAAAUGGGCGAAAGCCUGAUCCAGCGAUGCCGCGUGAGUGAUGAAGGCCUUAGGGUUGUAAAGCUCUUUUACUGGGGAUGAUAAUGACAGUACCCAGAGAAUAAGCCCCGGCUAACUCCGUGCCAGCCGCCGCCGUAA